rnacentral:rRNA from 1 species
AUACGGAGGGUGCAAGCGUUAUCCGGAUUUAUUGGGUUUAAAGGGUCCGUAGGCGGAUCUGUAAGUCAGUGGUGAAAUCUCAUAGCUUAACUAUGAAACUGCCAUUGAUACUGCAGGUCUUGAGUAAGGUAGAAGUAGCUGGAAUAAGUAGUGUAGCGGUGAAAUGCAUAGAUAUUACUUAGAACACCAAUUGCGAAGGCAGGUUACUAUGUCUUAACUGACGCUGAUGGACGAAAGCGUGGGGAGCGAACAGGAUUAGAAACCCGAGUAGUCC